rnacentral:rRNA from 1 species
UACGAAGGGGGCUAGCGUUGCUCGGAAUCACUGGGCGUAAAGCGCACGUAGGCGGAUUGUUAAGUCAGGGGUGAAAUCCUGGAGCUCAACUCCAGAACUGCCUUUGAUACUGGCGAUCUUGAGUUCGGGAGAGGUGAGUGGAACUGCGAGUGUAGAGGUGAAAUUCGUAGAUAUUCGCAAGAACACCAGUGGCGAAGGCGGCUCACUGGCCCGGUACUGACGCUGAGGUGCGAAAGCGUGGGGAGCAAACAGG